GGUAUAAAAUGCCAAAGACUUUGUCAGGUGAUGUUGCUGUUAGAGCUGCAACUUUCCUUUCAUCUCCUGUGAAUUCAGUGGGCAGCUUCUUGAAAGUUCCCUUCUGGCAAGGUUAUCUUCGAUCUGUUAAUGGAAUUGUCACCUUUAUGGACUCAUGCUCCAUUUCUCAACCUGUCUGGACUUUGCCCUCCAAAGGUUACCAUGGCUAGUGAAGUAAUAUGAUUGAGUCUUUUUCGACAGAUUUAUGCAAGAUUUCUUCUCCAGCAAGUGUCACAUCUAGUCUAGUUCUGCAAAAGAGAAUAUUUCAAAGAUGCCAACUGUCAUCUAAACCCACUAAAUUGUUCUGUGGGGUUGAGAGGACUGAGGGCCAUCUUGGGCAAUGCUGAUUUACACUACCUGGAGCUGUAUCUCUGCUGGCUGAAAUAUGGGCUCUGGUUAAUCACAAAAAGAAGAACAUCCCUGUCUCCCAGAAAGCACAUUUAAAAUGGAAUUUUCAUUAGUUACUCUGUAAUGAAAAUGCAAAAGGGUGUAUUUUAAGUGAAUCUGUCCAGAAUCUUGGAAGAAGGGUGGAGGGGAGGGAGGGGUUAUUUGAAGGAAAAUUACAACAGCCACACGCUAAACACGGAAAAUUGGUCUUGAGUUCCACUUAAGGCACAUACAUCCAAAGACUAUUUUCAAGUUUAUAGAAAGAUUUUGGAAUUAUAAAGGAUUCACUGCACAUGUAUCUGGUCCUCCUGCAUUUGAUACAAAGCACAAAUUAAUCAUCAUUAAAAUUUGUCUUGAGUUCCAUUUAAGGCACAUACAACCAAAGAUUAUUUUCAAGUUUAUAGAAAGAUUUUGGAAUUAUAAAGGAUUCACUGCACAUGUAUCUGGUCCUCCUGCAUUUGAUACAAAGCACAAAUUAAUCAUCAUUAUUCUGCACUAAUAUAACACCUCUUAACCCUCAGCUUUCAGAAUAUUUCAAAGGAGCAAUGAAUUAAGCCUCAUGUGGGCUUGGGAAUAUGUGAUAAUCUAAACUUUGAUUCUUUAAUGAAAAGCAUUUUCAGGACUUUGAUUCUGGAAGUUGGAAACUUAUAAUUGUUCUUGAAAAUAUCUUCCUUUGUCACUCACUUGGAAAGAAACCAUGUGAGUACCAGAAAAGUGAUAUGAAAUGGAAAAAUAUAUUAAGCAAAAGUUAAUAAAUUUGUCUGUACUUAUUUUUGUUAUUUAUUGAACCAAAAAUACCUGGGUAAAUCGAGGUGCUUAUAUGAUAUAGGUGUAAAAAAGGCAAAUUGGAUGCCUGUUGGUAACUAAAAGAGUGCAGGGGGAAAUAAUGUUGCCACUGUACAAGUCUCUUGCAAGCCAUCAUUUAAACAUUACACAGUAUGUCAGACUGAUCACUCAUGCUCAGAAAAGAUGAAUUCUGAGUGACAGAAAUGCAGGAAAAACUAUUAGAUAAUCCACAGAUUGCUGUUAUGACAGAAAAUAAAUGAUUAAUAUUUAAUUUGGCAAAACAAAUAAGGGACUUCAAUAGUGUCUACAAAUACAUUGUGGGAGGAGAGCAAGUCUUAUACUAAAAUAAACUAUCACUGUAUGACUAUACGGAGGGCAGAAAUAAAUUUGUUUUUAACGAACAGAGGAAUGGAAUUCUGGAACAAAAUCAGGUCCAUUUCUUGGGGCUUCAUUUUACUGCUUUUCAGUUGAACAAAACAUUUGGGUAUCUCCCCAGCCACGGUGCCUUGUUAUAGGCCACUGAACUAAUGUGAAACAGCUCAUCUGUGUCUUUGAACUUUACACUUUCUCUGCAUGGAGCACUUCCCUGGCCAGAGGGGUGGCCCUACACUGGGAUUUGUCCCCACGGGCCAGGUCUGACUCAGAUCGGGAUGUGCACAUCUCAGAAAAGAGAAAUUUAAAUCUCACUACACCGCAGACCUCCUGGGGAGCAAAGCAGAGCAUGAGGGCACACAUUCACACCAUGCUGUAAGAUGACUUGGAAUUACAUCCGGGGGGGAGGGGGUGGUAUUUUAUUUUUUAAUCUAUCUAUUCAAAGCUAAAUAUUUGGAAUAAUGCAAGAAACCCCCAAACACUGCAGUUUGGGCUGAAUGUCGUUUCUAGGCCAGACCAGACACAAGGUAUUCCCAAAGGAAAAAUCUAUUUUCACCCAGAUUUUAGUUUGGUAUAAGCAGUGUUUUCCAUCAGAAAAUCAUCCCAAUGGAAAAUUACUAACUGGUCCUAGUACAAAGUGACUAGCAAAGCUCUCAAAAUGAUUCAGUGGCAAGGCUGGAAUGAGAACCCACAGCCCCUGACCACGAACCCUGUGCACUAACCACGAGACAAACACUCAUCUUUCCCUGAGCAAGGUUGUUCCUGCAGCAUUUCUGCUCGGGCCGAAGUGGGAAUACUCUGGAAAUGUUGCAAGAGGACUUUUUUUUUUGCUGCCAGAUUUCCUGUUGUAGAAUAUUUGGGGGGUAACGGGAAAAAUCCCUGGUGGCUCCCUGGGGCCAGAAGUGUUUGGACAUGAUGGGAAUGCGAGGCUGCCAUCAGCUCCUCCCUGCGUGGGCUGAGGAGGGUCAGGCAGGGGAGCGCUGGGAUCUGCUCCCAAGCCGUGCAGUGCUCAGCCAUGGCUGCGACUCGAUCAUCUGAGACGUCUUUUCCAACCUCACUGGUUCUGUGAUUUCUCUGUUUUCCAGGGAUGCAUUUAAGGGCAUCCCACUGCCCCAUCCUCUCUCCAUUUUAAGCAAACCUUAACUAAACCCAGGGUUUUCUUGCUCACACCAGCAAUUCUCCAAUUUUUCAGGUAAAACUCUCAGAGCGACCCCACGCAGAAAACCAAACUCAUAGCUUGCAGCCCUGUUCGACUCAUUUAAGGAGCAUUUACAUUACAUUUAAGGAAGCUCAGGGUGAGAGAUAUCCUGAGCCCUGACAUUCUCUC
rnacentral:lncRNA from 1 species